GACGAACGCUGGCGGCGUGCUUAACACAUGCAAGUCGAGCGAUGAAGCACCUUCGGGUGAAUUAGCGGCGAACGGGUGAGGAACACGUGAAGAAUCUGCCUUCAACUCUGGGAUAACUCCGGGAAACCGGGGCUAAUACCGGAUAUGAGCCUUGAUCGCAUGAUCGGGGCUGGAAAGUUUUUCGGUUGAAGAUGACUUCGCGGCCUAUCAGCUUGUUGGUGAGGUAAUGGCUCGCCAAGGCGACGACGGGUAGCCGGCCUGAGAGGGCGACCGGCCACACUGGGACUGAGACACGGCCCAGACUCCUACGGGAGGCAGCAGUGGGGAAUAUUGGGCAAUGGAGGAAACUCUGACCCAGCGACGCCGCGUGAGGGAUGAAGGCCUUCGGGUUGUAAACCUCUUUCAGUAGGGAAGAAGCGAAAGUGACGGUACCUACAGAAGAAGCACCGGCUAACUAUGUGCCAGCCGCCGCUGUAA
rnacentral:rRNA from 1 species